rnacentral:rRNA from 1 species
GAGUUUGAUCAUGGCUCAGAAUCAACGCUGGCGGCGUGCCUAACACAGCAAGUCGAACGAGAAAGCUCGUAGCAAUACGGGUGAGUACAGUGGCGACCGGGUGAGUAAGACGUGGGUAACUUACCCUAGAGUGGGGAAUAACCCUGGGAAACCGGGGCUAAUACCGCAUACGAAUCUUGCUUCUGCGGAAGCUGGAUGGAAAGCUGGAAACGGCGCUCUAGGAGAGGCCCGCGCCCGAUUAGCUAGUUGGUGAGGUAAUGGCUCACCAAGGCCAUGAUCGGUAGCCGGCCUGAGAGGGCGGUCGGCCACACUGGCACUGAAACACGGGCCAGACUCCUACGGGAGGCAGCAGUGGGGAAUUUUGCGCAAUGGGGGAAACCCUGACGCAGCAACGCCGCGUGGACGAUGAAGCCUCUUGGGGUGUAAAGUCCUUUCGGCAGGGACGAAUCCCGGGCAACCGGGUUGACGGUACCUGAAGAAGAAGCCCCGGCUAACUCCGUGCCAGCAGCCGCGGUAAGAC